UGAAUGCUCUCAUUUGCCCUCUACAUUGAUA
rnacentral:piRNA from 1 species